rnacentral:rRNA from 1 species
GAUGAACGCUGGCGGCGUGCCUAAUACAUGCAAGUCGAGCGAACAGACGAGGCGCUUGCUCCUCUGACGUUAGCGGCGGACGUGUGAAUAACACGUGGAUAACCUACCUAUAAGACUGGGAUAACUUCGGGAAACCGGAGCUAAUACCGGAUAAUAUCUUGAAGCGCAUGGUUCAAUAGUGAAAGACGGUUUUGCUGUCACUUAUAGAUGGAUCCGCGCCGCAUUAGCUAGUUGUUAAGGUAACGGGUUAUCAAGGCAACGAUGCGUAGCCGACGUGAUAGGGUGAUCGGCCACACUGGAACGGAGACGCGGUCCAUACUACUACGGUACGCAGCAGUAGGGAACGGGCCGCAACAGGCGGGAGCAUUGCGGAGUGACGCCGAGUGAGUUACGAAAGUGCCGGGAGCGGAAAAAUCGGCUACGAGUUGUGAACAAAUUUGGAAGGUACCAUGCACGGCUUGACGGUAAUGAGUCAGAAAGCCACGGCUAACUACGUG